AAGAGAAUAAGGCAAACCCGCCGAAAGACGGGGACGCAAAGCCUACAGAUCUAAAGCAGAAUUGCUAGGAUGGCUGGGUUGCACAA
rnacentral:ncRNA from 1 species